ACGCUGGCGGCGUGCUUAACACAUGCAAGUCGAACGGAAAGGCCCUGCUUGCAGGGUGCUCGAGUGGCGAACGGGUGAGUAACACGUGGGUGAUCUGCCCCUUACUUUGGGAUAAGCCUGGGAAACUGGGUCUAAUACUGGAUAGGACCAUGCUGUAGGUGGUGUGGUGGAAAGAUUUUUUCGGUAAGGGAUGAGCUCGCGGCCUAUCAGCUUGUUGGUGGGGUAAUGGCCUACCAAGGCGUCGACGGGUAGCCGGCCUGAGAGGGUGGACGGCCACAUUGGGACUGAGAUACGGCCCAGACUCCUACGGGAGGCAGCAGUGGGGAAUAUUGCACAAUGGGCGCAAGCCUGAUGCAGCGACGCCGCGUGGGGGAUGACGGCCUUCGGGUUGUAAACUCCUUUCAGCCAUGACGAAGCCUCUUUGGGUGACGGUAGUGGUAGAAGAAGCACCG
rnacentral:rRNA from 1 species